AGCUGCCCCAUUUGCCUGCGGCACGAGAGCACGGUUUCCCGCGAUUCCAGAGCUCUGCGCUGAGAAAAAGGGAACCUCCGCCGUGCAUGCUGAAGUCUCGGUCUUCAGACUUGACUUGACUGAGAUGCUUGACUGCCCUACGUCUGGAAGGAGGCCGACAGCCUGUUGUCAGAAGCAGGACCUGAGGUGAUUUCAGCAAGGCAGGACCGGUGUCUCCUGGAAUUGGGUGCGGUCUCUACAGGAGACUAGUGCUCACCGCUCCUAGCUUGUAUACAUACGGACAGCCUUCUACUCGCACCGUGAGUCCUCUUAGGGACUCAAAAGAGACAUAGAGGGAGAGAACCUCAGUUAUCGCCCAGAUCUUCUGGAGUAAGUUAGACACACCAGUCCAGCCUCCUGAACCGUCACUGGGUCCUGACCACCUAUUUGGGGUAGAGAACUGGUAUUCAUCUCAAAGUUUGGAAGAAAGGGUCUGGGAGGCACCAAGCAAUGGGUGGGCAAAGAGAAUGUGUCAGCCAGUGAAAAUCAACUUUCCGUGGGUCCACGGCAGAUAUGGACCAGAGACCAGAAACAACAUGAAUCUCUGAUGUUUUUCUACAGAGUUCUGUUAUCAACUUGUAAAGAGCCGACUUCAGAAUUAGACUUUUCCAAAUCCUAUAUUUGGAUUUGGCCAUGAAGCCAAAACUUCACAGCAUUGCCGGACAUUAAAUCUCCUAUGCAAGCCUUUGCUCUGGGUGUCUUUUUUGUUUUUUGACAAUGUUGCCCACAGUGAGUACUGCGAAAAUCUAGUUUACCAUUGCUUUUUCCAAGUCCUUCUGGUGACUCCUUCUGAUUUGACCUAGUACAGCACAUCUUGGGGGAGCAUUGGUGGUUCAGUGGUGGAGGCCUGGGUUCAAUUCCCAGCCAGUGCAGUGUGUUCAGCAGUUUUACUUUGAACUGUCUGUCUGUUGCUCAGGCAAGUUAGGUCCCUCUGGGGUUCUGACCUUCAGGGAACAGCUGCCCCAUUAGGGGAGGAAAGUGGGUUAUUUCCGGGGCAGAAGACAUUGAGGAAUUUGUGUGAACAGGGACUUUGGAGAAGGUAUGUCCUUCACGUGCGGGUGUGUCUGACGGGUCUGUCUCUGACGUUUUUGCAUCUUUGGGUCUAGAGCCAGUGUUACUUUUAUUCUUCCUUCUGGUGGUCCCUGGAAUCCAUAGAGUCAUCUGGUCACUGAUACACAUGCUGGACUUGGGCAGACCAUUGGGCCACGUCUCACUAUGGAGUGGGGAUCAAGAAACGAAAUUCCCAAAUUGAGACAAGCCGCAGGGAGGGCUAGGCAGACACCCCAGUGGAGAGGAAGAAAUGAGGGGCCCCAGGAAGGAGGAGACUUGUGGGGAAGAGUCCACAGGGUGAUGAGGGGAACUGGGUAGAGGUAGGCUUCAGUCGUUGAUGGUCUUGGUAGAAUGAAGGAUGAGUCCCCGAGUGUAGAGCAGCAUGUACAAUAAAGUCAUUUUCACUACUAUUGUUUUAUAGUCUGUCCGGGAAAAAUCUAUUUAGUGCAUCGUUUUUAUGCUUAUUGGUAAGCAGCACGGUGGGGGAGGGGGGGCGGGCGGGAAGCCAUGACAAUCAUCAGCUCUGGAGGUUUGGAGGAGGAGACUCUGGAAAAAGAAAACCCAGGGAUCAUCAGGUUUGCCUACCCCUGUUUUCAUCUACUAUUUUCCUCAACAAACCUUAUGUAGGGUCCCAGAUCUCAAACUGCCCCUGCCACACUGGCAAAUUGAAUAUGUGCCACUGAUCAUUUCUUUCUUGAAGGGAUAAGAAAUGGUAGAGCCGGUGCUAUGGGAGUGAGAUGCAAGAACAGAACUUAAAUGCUUUUCUCCAUCAUGUCUCACUGCUACCUCUGAACGUCAGCCUUCCACACACACCAGUUCAAAAACGCCUUCAGUCUCUAUGGAGGGUUAGAAGUCUUUUAUAAUUCCUGUAAGGCAUGUUUCUUCCUUCCUUCUAUAAUUCCACCAGGGUUGAUUUUUGAGGAGCUGGUCAGCAAGCCCGGACCAGUUCAACAUCCUGGAUCAUUUGUCUGGUUUCGGUAUCGUUAGAGUAGGCAGGUAGUUAAGUUCUAACAGGACACCUGGAGGUCAGCAAAGAGGAAGUGCUGGCCAGCUAUCAGGGAGGUCAGAGGCCUGUCCUGGCAGCGGCAGUCCACAAGAAGCCGGAUCAAACCAGAUAGGCCCAAGAUGGUGGGAGCCAGGAUGGGAAAAUUGAGGGGGGAAAAAAAAAAAAAAAAGGAAACCCUGCUUCUGGACCAAACAGUAAAUAUUCCGCCCCCCUAGUCAAUAACUGUCAAUGAAAGAGAGAAACCCAACCCCCAGGGUGUGGCAGUUCACCUGGCUCUGGCUCUCACUCCCCUCCCGCUGUCACUGUCCCUCUGUCGCUAGCACUCUCACUGGCGCUCUUACUCUUGAGCUCAAGUUCGGCUGCUCUCAUAUCUCCAGGAGUGUACUUUUUGCUUCUGUUACUCAUCUGUUGUGCUACAUGUCUGUUCUUGAAUUCCUUCUCCUGGCAAGACCAAGAACCUUUGGCAACUCCUUCAGGUUCUGGCUGGAUUGAGGAGGCCCCAGGACCCCGGGUCUCCCCAGUUCACCCGGCAAUAGUAUAUUAAAAAAACAAAACAAAACAAAACAAAACAAAAACAAAACAGGCCCAAAAUGGCAUCACUUGGGUUAAGGCCCCAAGUCAGUAAGACAGGACUUACCACCUAACCUAACUGCAAUUUCAACCUCCCAGAAAUGUAACCUUUAACAUUGUAACCGGCAACGUGGAAUUUCCUGGUCAAUACUAGGAACUUUACUGGUACACUCCUCCCUCUUCCCCUUAGGAGGGCAGCCUUGCCUAAAUCAUGCAUUUCUCGCUAAUAAGUUCCUUUCUUCUUUGAUUUUUAUGCCCUUUCCGCCUUUAAAAACCUUUCUGCCUGUUUAACUUCCCGCGGAGUUCCCCUGUACUUGCUAGAUGGGCUGCUGCCUGAUUCAUGAAUCAUUUAAUGAAGCCAAUUAGAUCUUCAAAUUUACUAGGUUGAAUUGAGUAUUUUUAAGAGAUUUGGUGCAGCAUGGGGAUCCAAAGUGUACUUCUGAUGGCAUUCGGGGACAAUGAGAAACAGGCAUGGUGCCUUGUGAGCUCACUGCCUUUCUCGCCACUUCUGAGGACUACUGGUAAGUCUGUCUUGGCUUGAGCUCCGCUUCUGUGUGUGUGUUCGAGCUACUGAUCUAACUGGUUUCCCAGUCUAGGGGUCGUGGGGUAGUGUAGACUGACGGGAGGUUCCGACAGAGCGGCAGUCCUUAGCCCUUCGUUCAGUCCACAAGUACACGUUGGAGUCCUGUCUCCUUUUCCAGUCCACAGUCUCCAUUUACUGGAGUCUACUGGUUUAGUCCAUGCUGGGAAUCGCUGGUGGUGUGCAGGGCCUUCUCUUUGCCAGUAAUAUCUUUUGGUUACUGCUGGUGUGUUGAAGUGCCUACGUUUGUCUGGUUUUGUGUGAACAGGGCUUAGCUAAUAGGAUCCUUAAAUUCUAAAGAGCCAAGCACGCCACCUUCUGGCACACCUGCUUACUUUAUGUCUAAAAACUAUGGUGCCAGGAGCUGUGCAUAUCUGUAGAAAUGGCGAAAUUUUACUAAAAACAACUUGGAAUUACAAUGGCCACGACGGGGAACAUUCCAAGUAGAUAAGACAAUUUAAGAAGUGCACUUAAAAGUAAAGGUUCUCAAAUUAAACAGAAUGGGAUAACUGUGUUAAUUGGCAAGAAAAACCUCCAGAAGCCUUCCAAUUCAUUGAAAGAUUCACUGCAAAAGGCUAAUGGAGAAAAAGGAUGUAAGAGGUACCUAAAACAAAAGACUGUAACACUGAUGUGACUCCUUUUGCUCCCCUCUGUCCUCCUUUGAGGACUCCUUCUACUGAUCCUCUGUCCCAAUUGCUUUUCCACUCGGAAGAGACCACACAACUGCAA